ACCAGUGAGUGCCACAAGGAGUUAGAAAGGUCCACUGCUGUUUCUAGUGUUAUCUGUCACGUCGUUCGAUGCGAGCACAAUCCGAGGCAUGAAAACACAAAAUAAGGCGUCAAACACUCAUUUUCGGGCAACCAGGGAGUGCCACAAGGUAGGGUCCGCUGCUGCUUCUGGUGUUAUCUAUAAGGCACGUCCUCCGAUAAAAACACAAUAUAAGCACUUCCUACGAUGAGAGCACAAUCUAUCGUCUGUUUUUAUCUCCUGCGACGUCCAACACUCCUCUUCGACUAACCGAUAAAAGCACAAUCUGAGCACUUCCUACGAUGGGAGCACAAUCUAUCGUCUUUAAUCUCCUGCGACGUCCAACACUCCG